rnacentral:rRNA from 1 species
UACGUAGGGCGCGAGCGUUGUCCGGAAUUAUUGGGCGUAAAGAGCUCGUAGGCGGCCUGUUGCGUCCGCUGUGAAAUCCCAGGGCUCAACCCUGGGCGUGCAGUGGAUACGGGCAGGCUGGAGGCAGGCAGGGGAGAACGGAAUUCCCGGUGUAGCGGUGAAAUGCGCAGAUAUCGGGAGGAACACCGGUGGCGAAAGCGGCUCACUGGACCAUUACUGACACUGAGGCACGAAAGCUAGGGGAGCAAACAGG